rnacentral:rRNA from 1 species
ACGUAGGGUGCGAGCGUUAAUCGGAAUUACUGGGCGUAAAGCGUGCGCAGGCGGUUUUGUAAGACAGGCGUGAAAUCCCCGGGCUCAACCUGGGAACUGCGCUUGUGACUGCAAGGCUAGAGUACGGGAGAGGGGGGUGGAAUUCCACGUGUAGCAGUGAAAUGCGUAGAGAUGUGGAGGAACACCAAUGGCGAAGGCGGCCCACUGGGUCGAUACUGACGCUCAGGCACGAAAGCGUGGGUAGCAAACAG